rnacentral:rRNA from 1 species
AGGAAGGUGGGGAUGACGUCAAGUCAUCAUGGCCCUUACGACCAGGGCUACACACGUGCUACAAUGGCGCAUACAAAGAGAAGCGACCUCGCGAGAGCAAGCGGACCUCAUAAAGUGCGUCGUAGUCCGGAUUGGAGUCUGCAACUCGACUCCAUGAAGUCGGAAUCGCUAGUAAUCGUGGAUCAGAAUGCCACGGUGAAUACGUUCCCGGGCCUUGUACACACCGCCCGUCACACCAUGGGAGUGGGUUGCAAAAGAAGUAGGUAGCUUAACCUUCGGGAGGGCGCUUACCACUUUGUGAUUCAUGACUGGGGUGAAGUCGUAACAAGGUAACCGUAGGGGAACCUGCGGUU